GUCGUCCUGCCUUGUUUCGGCAAGAGAUGGAGUGGCUGACUGGUGAUUAACACAUGGGUGACCUACCCCACAGUGAGGGAUACCGGUGAGAAAUCGCCGACAAGCCCGCAUAGGCGCUCUCUGGUAGAGCAGGGAUCGCAAAGCCUGUGCUCUCUAUAUCAAGGGCGCUGUGGGAUGGGCCUGUGGCCGAUUAGCUGGUUGGUGGGGUAAAAGCCCACCAAUGCCAUGAUCGGUAUCUGGUCUGAUAGGACGACUAUCCUCUCUGGGAUUGAGAACGGUCCAUACUCCUACGGGGGGCAUCAGUGAUGAAUUUUCCGUAAUGGGCGAUUAUCCUGACGGAUCAACGCCGCGUGCAUGAAGACGCGUUUCGACGUGUAAACUGCUUUUCUGUGGGACGAGAGUGGACGGUACCUCAGGAAUAAAUCCCGGCUAACUACGUGCCAUCAGCCGCGGUAAU
rnacentral:rRNA from 1 species